rnacentral:rRNA from 1 species
GACGAACGCUGGCGGCGUGCCUAACACAUGCAAGUCGAACGGGACGUUCGGGUCUAGGGGCGGACGGGUGCUUAACGCGUGGGAACCUACCCUUAGGUUCGGAAUAACUCCCCGAGGGAGAUCCUAAGACCGGUUAGUCUCAUCGGACUAAAGAUUUAUCGCCUUUGGAUGGGCCCGCGUUGGAUUAGCUAGUUGGUAGGGUAAAAGCCGACCAAGGCGACGAUCCAUAGCUGGUCUGUGAGGAUGAUCAGCCACACUGGGACUGAGACACGGCCCAGACUCGUACGGGAAGCAGCAGUGGGGAAAAUUGGACAAGGGGCGAAAGCCUGAUCCAGCACUGCCGCGUGAGUGAUGAAGGGCUUAGGGUUGUAAAGCUCUUUUACCCGGGAUGAUAAUGACAGUACCGGGAGAAUAAGCUCCGGCUAACUCCGU